AUAUACACUUCCAUGUUUGAAGUAAUAAUCGGUUUAUGGUACAUAACAUUUUACAAUUGUGCAUAAAUUUGAAUUCCCUCUUUCUCUCUCUGUCUAGCUGCGCAAUUAUUUUGGUUUGGUGAUCAUUUCAAUGUGUAUUAAGUUUUCUCUAAGUUUUAUGUUAUUUCGGGUCAAUGCAAUGCGACUAGAAUUGAGCCAAUUGUCUUUAUAUAUUAUUAUUUGUUGUUUCAUUAUAAUGUGGGAGCUCAAGUUGUCAUUUGGUAUUGUUUCUACUUUAGUUUUCUCUAUUUGAGUUAGAGAGCAUACUUGGGUAGCUUGACUUGCUUCAUGAAUGUGUAUGAUAUUUAUUUUGAUUAUAUUUGGUGAGGAUAUCUGGGGCAUAAUGUGAGAGCUCACUGGGAACUUUAGAAAAUAGAAAAUGGUUGCUAAAUUUCUCUUUACUUAUUUAAAUUAGUGUUUUAGCCUACUAAUUCAUUUCCACUCUUUUUUGGAAGAAAGUAUAGAGGUUUAUUCUCUCUGUAAUCUUUUUAAGUUUUUAUUUUAGUAUUCCAGCAUUCCAACAUACUCAAAUAUUUUUUGCUUGUUAUUGCAGGUGGUCAUAAGUGAGAAAAUAGAAUGGUUCAUACACGGUUCUUGUUAGGAUCUCCUUCAUUAGAAUCCACUCCUCUUGUUACAGUUGCUGUUUGUUCUCUAAUUGAGACAAGGUCUAAGAAAAGAACCAUCCCUUGUUCAGCUUCUAGUCGUUCUCAAGUUGAAACAAGGUCUAAGAAAUGACCCUCAAAUUCCACACAGAUUGCUAAAAGCCAAAAAGACUCAUGUAUCUAUUAAUGAUCAGUUAGUUGCCCCUCGCGAGGUACACUUUUAUUUUUCUUUUGCUAUGCCUCUUUUAUUAUUUUAUUGUUUCAUUUUUUAAAUGUUUUUAACAUUAUUAUUUAUUAGUUUAUUAUGUGUAAUUUUUUUUUGUAGGGUACAUCGUUCCUCAUUCCUCGUAGUCUACAUCGCAACGUCAGGAUUACUUACGAAGGCAUUGAUGGUAGAUUCAUUGGGUCUAUUCGGGAAACUCUUUCAACAAAACAAUUUCCAGAUUUCUUUACUUCUUGCUUUGGCCAGUUUGCAUCGUUGGAACAAUUCACAAUUCAAAAUCAGUUAAUUCACAAUUCACUCCUUAGAGAGUUGCGACAACCCAAUCCAGUUGAGAUUUAGAUUGGGAUCAAUGGAAUGCAGCUAAGUUUUGGCCGAGGAGAGUUUGCCCUUGUAGCGGGUCUACAAUGUUUGGGGUCUAGGGAUAAAUUAAAAUAUGUUCGACAUGAAAAUGGUAUUCAAUCAACAUAUUUUAAUAAUUUGAAGUUCUCCAAGGAACAAUUGAGUAAAUGUUUUGUUGAAAAGAGAUGGAAGAAUGAUGAGGAUGCUCUUAAAAUUACACUUCUGCAUUUCCUUAAAAAAAUUUGCUCCGUUCAGAACCUUGUUAUAAUGUGUCACAAGAACACUUAAAUAUAUUGGAUAGUGGUGCAUUUUCAGAGUUUCCUUGGGGACAAGAAGUUUCAUUUUCCUUAUGAAAAAAUUGAAGGCAAGGAUUAACUUGAAGAAGGUGGAAGAAGCCAAAGCACAUUCUAGGAAGCCAUUUUAUAGGCAUUUUGGGUUUGUAUAUGCAUUUCAAGUUUGGUUCUACGAGUGUUGCCCAUACAUGAACGGUGGUCUUGCCACUUUGCAUCAAGGUUCAAUUUCUCGUAUUGUUAGGUGGAAAUGUGAUUUGAAUCCUAGAUUCGAGGAUGUUUCUAUAAUGCUAUCUUUGCCAAUGGAUGAGUUGAAAUUGAGAAAUUUAUGUCCAACUUCUGAAGAGAGAGUAAAAUAUAAUCUGGAUAUAUUUUUCCCUAAAGGAAAAAAACAUUCUUUGCCUCAGAUAGAUAUUGAUCAUCCUCAAGCUGGAGCAACCCCCCACAAGAUGUUGAUGAUGGAGAUGAUGAUUUUGUGGAAAUUCCUCCUAGGUCUGUUGCUGGUUGUCCAUAUUCUGUUCCUCAAGUGUCGCUAAAUAUCAUGCAAGCCCAAUUAAGACUAGAAGAAAGUAACAAGACUAUAGUUUCUGAAGUAUGCUCGCUGAAGACUUUUGUCCAAGAUGGAUUUUCUCGCUUUGAUAUGGCAUUGUUUUAGCUUAUUAGUUUCCAUGAAUCUAGAAAACAUGUAUGUCUUAAUAUAUAAUUUAUGUUGCUUCAUAUGCUGUUUUAUUAGAUUUUUAAUAAUUUUCAUAUUUGAGAAUAAAAACAUCCCUGUGAAAAACCAUUAUUGCAACCCCUGUUUAAAAAUAAUUAUGGAUCACAAAUACCAUCUCUAAUAAAAUGACAAUCAUUAUAUGCAGCAAACCUAACAAUGGCACCAAUAGCAACCUUCAUAGCAUCUUUAUAUAUUUUUUAUUUUUUAAGUUCACAUAGAAAUACCUUUUUUGUAACCCUUUCAGCAACUUUUACAGAAACCAUCUGUUAUAAAAUAACAGUCAUUAUUUGCAGCAAACCUAAUAACUAUGCAAAUAGCAACCUUCAUAGCAUAUUUUAUGUAUCUUUAUAUUUUUUUAUUUUCUUAGUUGACAUAUAGAUACCCUUUCAGCCACCAUUAUAGAAACCAUCUGUAAGAAAAUGAUAUUUAUAUGCAGCAACCCUACCAGUGACCCCAAUAGCAACCUCUAUUGCAUAUUAAUGUCAUAUUUUUAUUUUUUUUAGUUCACACCAUUUAAAUUUAUAUUUUAAUUGUUCAAUAGGAUUCAUCCGUUGAUUUGUCCCAAUCUCCUUCUUGUCAUAAUGAUACUCUUUUUAAUGAGAGGAGAACUAAACAAAGACAUGAGAAAAAUAUUGUUUUAGAAGAAGAAGAGGAGAAGGAAGAAGAAGAAGCAUAUAAAGAAGAAGAAGCAGAAGAAGAAGAAGAAGAAGUAGAUAAA